GCGGACGUGGCGGAAUUGGUAGACGCACUGGAUUCAGGGUCCAGCGGUCGCAAGACUGUGAGAGUUCGAGUCUCUCCGUCCGCA
rnacentral:tRNA from 1 species